rnacentral:lncRNA from 1 species
CAGACUCCCGCGCCUGUGAGCCGCGGUGCAGGCUAGGCGCGCGCCGGGACGAGCCUGCGGUCGGCCCUCCCGGAGGACAGCAGCCGCUCUCCAUGCCUGUGUGGUGCUGCCGCUGCUCCCUGGCCGGUCAUUUCAGAAACUACAGUGACACUGAAACUGAAGGAGAGAUUUUUAAUUCUUUAGUGCAAUAUCUUGGUGACAAUUUGGGGCCAAAAGUUAAAGGGAUGCCAUUAGUUGAAGAAACUUCUUUACUUGAAGAUUCAUCAGUGACUUUGCCUAUGGUAAUAAUUGGAAAUGGCCCUUCUGGAAUAUGCCUUUCGUAUAUGCUGUCGGGCUACAGACCAUAUUUAUCAUCUGAAGCAAUACAUCCAAAUGCAAUCUUACAUAGUAAGCUAGAAGAAGCACGGCAUCUCUCCAUUGUGGAUC